CAUUUAUUUAUUGGGGGGUAGUAGAAAAUAAUGUUUAAUUGGAGUUGCCAGGUAGGAGUCCCUCAGAUAUUAAAAUUUUUUCUGUUUUAAAAGCAAUCUGAGUUUUAGCUCUUGAAAACAAUUCAUUUAAAUUUCCAAUAAUGAUUAAAAUUCCUUUUAAAUUAGAAUUGCCAAUGCUUUGACCUUUGAGGAGGGUUCCUUAGACAUAAAUCCUACAUUUAAACUUUUUUCUUUAAAGCAUGGUAUUGGAUGUUGACUUUUUACAGUUCUAAGCACUGUUAACAAUAUCAGGAAGGUGUUUUGAGAGAGAUCAAUGGAAAGUUAAACAUUCUACAUCUAACGAAAAUACACUUCUUUUUGAUUCAGAAAAUAAAAU